rnacentral:rRNA from 1 species
AUUGAACGCUGGCGGCAUGUUUUACACAUGCAAGUCGGACGAGUGGCGAACGGGUGAGUAAUACACUGGAACGUACCGAGUAAUGGGGGAUAACCAAUCGAAAGAUUGGCUAAUACCGCAUAUUAUUCGAGCGGACAAUAUCUGAUUAGCGAGUUGGUGGGGUAAAGGCCUACCAAGGCGACGAUCAGUAGCGGGUCUGAGAGGAUGAUCAGCCCCACUGCGUCGUAGACGCCGCCCGGAAUCCUCGGGGUGGCCACAUGUGGGAAUUGUGCACAAUGGUGGCAAGCCGCACCCAGCCAUUCCGCGUGUCUGAGGAAGGCCUUCGUACUGUGAAGGACCUCUGUUAGGCGAGCGGUACCUAAAGAAUAGUCCACGGGUAACUACGGGCCAGCAGCCGCGGUAAUAC